GGUGAGAGGACUUGCUCCUUGAGCUGGGGGUGGCCGCAGAGACCAGCGAGAAGCGACUGUUUACUAAAAACACAGGUCCGUGCGAAGCCGUAAGGCGAUGUAUACGGACUGACGCCUGCCCGGUGCUGGAACGUUAAGGGGACCGGUUAGUGCGCUUUCGGGCGUGCGAAGCUGAGAACUUAAGCGCCAGUAAACGGCGGUGGUAACUAUAACCAUCCUAAGGUAGCGAAAUUCCUUGUCGGGUAAGUUCCGACCUGCACGAAUGGCGUAACGACUUCUCGACUGUCUCAACCAUAGGCCCGGUGAAAUUGCACUACGAGUAAAGAUGCUCGUUUCGCGCAGCAGGACGGAAAGACCCCGGGACCUUUACUACAGUUUGAUAUUGGUGUUCGGUUCGGCUUGUGUAGGAUAGGUGGGAGACUGUGAAGCGGGCACGCCAGUGUUCGUGGAGUCGUCGUUGAAAUACCACUCUGGUCGUGCUGGAUGUCUAACCUGGGUCCGUGAUCCGGAUCAGGGACAGUGUCUGAUGGGUAGUUUAACUGGGGCGGUUGCCUCCUAAAGAGUAACGGAGGCGCCCAAAGGUUCCCUCAGCCUGGUUGGCAAUCAGGUGUUGAGUGUAAGUGCACAAGGGAGCUUGACUGUGAGACCGACGGGUCGAGCAGGGACGAAAGUCGGGACUAGUGAUCCGGCGGUGGCUUGUGGAAGCGCCGUCGCUCAACGGAUAAAAGGUACCCCGGGGAUAACAGGCUGAUCUUCCCCAAGAGUCCAUAUCGACGGGAUGGUUUGGCACCUCGAUGUCGGCUCGUCGCAUCCUGGGGCUGGAGUCGGUCCCAAGGGUUGGGCUGUUCGCCCAUUAAAGCGGUACGCGAGCUGGGUUUAGAACGUCGUGAGACAGUUCGGUCCCUAUCCGCUGCGCGCGCAGGAAUAUUGAGAAGGGCUGUCCCUAGUACGAGAGGACCGGGACGGACGAACCUCUGGUGUGCCAGUUGUUCUGCCAAGGGCAUGGCUGGUUGGCUACGUUCGGGAGGGAUAACCGCUGAAAGCAUCUAAGCGGGAAGCCUGCUUCGAGAUGAGUAUUCCCACCCACUUGAUGGGGUAAGGCUCCCAGUAGACGACUGGGUUGAUAGGCCAGAUCUGGAAGGCGGGUAACCGCUGGAGGUGACUGGUACUAAUAGGCCGAGGGCUUGUCCUC
rnacentral:rRNA from 1 species